rnacentral:lncRNA from 1 species
GAACGCAUGACUUAAAACGCUCUAGUGCUGUCACUAUGGGUUUACUGAGCAUACUCUCUUCCGCGUAGGGAGGGAGGUCCUUGCAUUCUGGGCCUACUUGUAGGUUGAGGUAGUUUGAUAUAGCUAUCAACGGACUAGAUUCUGGGGAAACCUGGCACGCGAUGGGCUUGCUGACCCCAUUGAAAUGGGCGCGUACUAAUGGGUACCGAGCAUCUGACAUGGAUGCUAGUUACGGAGCAACCGAGCAGGAAGAGGAGAACGGGGGAGGCAGUGGCCCGAUAAGAAGCGGAAACCGGGGUGGAGGCGCGGAGGGAGGCGGCGGAUGAGGGGAACGGGGGAGGCAGUGGCCCGAUAGGAAGCGGAAACCGGGGUGGAGGCGCGGAGGGAGGCGGCGGAAGAGGGGAACGGGGGAGGCAGUGGCCCGAUAGGAAGCGGAAACCGGGGUGGAGGCGCGGAGGGAGGCGGCGGAAGAGGGGAACGGGGGAGGCAGUGGCCCGAUAGGAAGCGGAGGCGCCGUGGGGGGGCGGCGACGUAGGGCGCGGGGGCGGCGGCCCGAGGGCGCGGCGGCGGCGGAUCGGGGAAGAAGAGAUGUGGCUAAGUGUUGUGUUGGACGAAGGGGCCGGCCUCUUAAACCCCCCCCCCCACCUCGGGGAAGC